GGCAUUUUCAAAAGCACUUGAUAAUAUCAUUGAGCGUCUAACGGCUAUAUUUCCACACUAUACAAGUUUUGAUCUUACUAACUUCAUAAAAGAAGUACAAAUUAAAAAUGGAAACAAACUUUCAGGAUUGAGCUCAGAUGAAAUCCUUACCCGAGUGACAGAACUCAUUCUGGACCAUCAAAAUAAGAAAAAGGCUCCGACCUCAGCAAAGAGAACCAAAAAGCCAGCAUCCUGCGCUGUAACUCAGACUCUGAAAGUAGCCAAGUCUGCCGUGGGAAAUGUGUCUAGCCUAUCCAAGGCAAGGCCAUCCUAUAAAACUGUUGCAAACAAAACAACUCAGCCAUCACAGCCAACCCACCAGCCGUGGAGACUUGUUGGAGGACCAUCACAAUCAAAAUGGAUAAAAUCAAAUGAU